rnacentral:rRNA from 1 species
UACGUAGGGUGCAAGCGUUAAUCGGAAUUACUGGGCGUAAAGCGUGCGCAGGCGGCUUUGCAAGACAGAUGUGAAAUCCCCGGGCUUAACCUGGGAAUUGCGUUUGAAACUGGAGAGCUGGAGUGUGGAAGAGGGUCGCGGAAUUCCCGGUGUAGAGGUGAAAUUCGUAGAUAUCGGGAGGAACACCAGUGGCGAAGGCAACGACCUGGGCCAAUACUGACGCUGAGGUGCGAAAGCGUGGGGAGCAAACAGG